rnacentral:rRNA from 1 species
CCUACGGGAGGCAGCAGUGGGGAAUAUUGCACAAUGGGGGAAACCCUGAUGCAGCGACGCCGCGUGAGUGAAGAAGUUUUUCGGUAUGUAAAGCUCUAUCAGCAGGGAAGAACAUGACGGUACCUGAUUAAGAAGCACUGGCUAACUACGUGCCAGCAGCCGCGGGAAUACGUAGGGGGCAAGCGUUACCCGGAUUUGCUGGGUGUAAAGGGCGUGUAGACGGCAGCACAAGUCUGGAGGGAAAGGCCGGGGCUUAACCCCGGAACUGCUUUGGAAACUGUGCAGCUAGAGUGCAGGAGAGGUAAGUGGAAUUCCUGGUGUAGCGGUGAAAUGCGUAGAUAUUAGGAGGAACACCAGUGGCGAAGGCGGCUUACUGGACUGUAACUGACGUUGAGGCUCGAAAGCGUGGGGAGCAAACAGGAUUAGAUACCCCAGUAGUC